rnacentral:rRNA from 1 species
CAACAUUCCGAAAGGAAUGCUAAUACCGCAUACGCCCUACGGGGGAAAGCAGGGGAUCUUCGGACCUUGCGCUAAUAGAUGAGCCUAAGUCGGAUUAGCUAGUUGGUGGGGUAAAGGCCUACCAAGGCGACGAUCUGUAGCGGGUCUGAGAGGAUGAUCCGCCACACUGGGACUGAGACACGGCCCAGACUCCUACGGGGGGCAGCGGUGGGGAAUAUUGGACAAUGGGCGGAAGCCUGAUCCAGCCAUGCCGCGUGUGUGAAGAAGGCCUUUUGGUUGUAAAGCACUUUAAGCGAGGAGGAGGCUCCUUUAGUUAAUACCUAAAGUGAGUGGACGUUACUCGCAGAAUAAGCACCGGCUAACUCUGUGCCAGCAGCCGCGGUAAUACAGAGGGUGCGAGCGUUAAUCGGAUUUACUGGGCGUAAAGCGUGCGUAGGCGGCUUUUUAAGUCGGAUGUGAAAUCCCUGAGCUUAACUUAGGAAUUGCAUUCGAUACUGGAAAGCUAGAGUAUGGGAGAGGAUGGUAGAAUUCCAGGUGUAGCGGUGAAAUGCGUAGAGAUCUGGAGNGANANUACCGAUGGCGAAGGCAGCCAUCUGGCCUAAUACUGACGCUGAGGUACGAAAGCAUGGGGAGCAAACAGGAUUAGAUACCCUGGUAGUCCAUGCCGUAAACGAUGUCUACUAGCCGUUGGGGCCUUUGAGGCUUUAGUGGCGCAGCUAACGCGAUAAGUAGACCGCCUGNGGGANGNUNACGNGUCGCAAGACUAAAACUCAAAUGAAUUGACGGGGGCCCGCACAAGCGGUGGAGCAUGUGGUUUAAUUCGAUGCAACGCGAAGAGCCUUACCUGGCCUUGACAUACUAAGAACUUUCCAGAGAUGGAUUGGUGCCUUCGGGAACUUAGAUACAGGUGCUGCAUGGCUGUCGUCGGCUCGUGUCGUGAGAUGUUGGGUUAAGUCCCGCAACGAGCGCAACCCUUUUCCUUAUUUGCCAGCGGGUAAUGCCGGGAACUUUAAGGAUACUGCCAGUGACAAACUGGAGGAAGGCGGGGACGACGUCAAGUCAUCAUGGCCCUUACGGCCAGGGCUACACACGUGCUACAAUGGUCGGUACAAAGGGUUGCUACCUCGCGAGAGGAUGCUAAUCUCAAAAAGCCGAUCGUAGUCCGGAUCGCAGUCUGCAACUCGACUGCGUGAAGUCGGAAUCGCUAGUAAUCGCGGAUCAGAAUGCCGCGGUGAAUACGUUCCCGGGCCUUGUACACACCGCCCGUCACACCAU